UCCCUGGUGGUCUAGUAGUUAAGACUUCACCUUCUAAGAGCUGGGGGUACAGGUUCAAUCCUUGUUUGGGGAA
rnacentral:tRNA from 1 species